UGUUUUUAGGAAUUUUCAUCAAUGAAAUCUAACAGGAAAGGAUGAAUAUGGUUUUAGGACAGUCGUUCUUAAUGUUUGUAUCAUCAGUCUUUAUAGAGGCGACACAUCCGUAUUUUAGCGACACAAUGCACUGGAGCGAAGCUAUACAAUUUUGCAGCAAACACGGACUGGUUUUAAAAAAGUCAGAGCGUGGUCUUGCAGAUAAACAGAUUGAGCAAUUCUGGACAAGAUUGUACAAAAAAGAAAGUGACUUUAUUUACCUACAUGGAUGUAUGAACACCCAUAAUGUCAAUAAAUCUGAGCACAUGAAAAUAGACCAGUGUGUACAGAAAUGUUUAAAUAAAAGACAUCAUUUGUUUGUAAUGCAAGUAAGUUUAGAUUUAAC